rnacentral:rRNA from 1 species
UCGUACUACGUGCGUUGAGCGCGUGCGAGGGCUGUCGCUGACUUUCUGUUGACGCAAUAGUCGUGCACGCCGGAGCGCGUCCUCACGCAUAAUAUCCAUCUCACUCUUCUGUGCACCACCGCGUGUGCACCUUUUGGGAUCGAAUCGAUCCUGGAGGGUGCUUGCGUCUUCACACAUACCCCUUCUUAAAAAGUGUAGAAUGACCCCAUUUUGCGAUGACACGCAAUCAAUACAACUUUCAACAACGGAUCUCUUGGCUCUCGCAGCGAUGAAGAACGCAGCGAUAUGCGAUACGUAAUGUGAAUUGCAGAAUUCAGUGAAUCAUCGAAUCUUUGAACGCACCUUGCGCCCCUUGGUAUUCCGAGGGGCACACUCGUUUGAGUGUCGUGAAAUUCUCAACCUUCUCUGUUUUCUUCUGGACACCGAAGGAGGCUUGGUCAUUGGAGGCCUUUGCUGUCGUCUCUUAGACCCAGCUCCUCUUAAAUGAAUUAGCGGGGUCCUCUUUGCCGAUCCCUGACAUGUGAUAAGAUGUUUCUAUGACUUUGUUUCUGGCUCUGUCGCAUUUGUGACCCGCUUCUAACCGUCUCGACGAGACAUCGUUUGGUCGUGUCUCCUUUCUCGGGAGACUCUCUCAACUCCAACGAACCCUACUUCGAGGAAGGCGAAAUAACUAUACGAAUUCAAGUCGCCCAUCAGAGUGGGCUAAACUCCA